rnacentral:misc_RNA from 1 species
AUAGACCGCGAGGCUGCCGACCUCGACAGGUCCGGUGCCUACAAGACGAACGAACAGGUGCAGUGCUCAGCAGACGUUGGCAACCUUGUUGCAAGAUCUUCGGCAAAUAUCACGGAGAGGUGCGUCUGGAGCCGGUUUCUGACAGGGAGUCUACGCGGCGUACAGCGAGGGGUCCAGUUGCUGGGCUACUGGAAGUUUACAAUCGACGGAGGAAGGAGGUUUUAGGCUAGAGGGACGGGAGCCUCGGGCAGAGUUUGGGCGGGCAUGCGGCGGCCAGACGUUCCCGCUCCAGCGAGUGCGGAGCCGAGGCAGGGUGCACAAGGCUGCUGCUGAGACUCGUGUCUGCUCGAGUCCCGGAGAAGGGCUGGCGCUUGGACGCAGAACCCUAGACCCUUGUACGUGCUAGAUUAUUGUGACUUUUGGGCGGACUUGAAAGCACCGGCAGCGUAACCUGCAGAUGCGCAGUCUCUGUUUCAAUAACGGUCGUACCCGACUGCUCGGGUUUGCGGAGAGCGCGAAGUCUCUUUCCGUUGUGAAGCGGUGGCCUGUGGCAGCAUUGUGCAGGCGUGCUCUCUCCGAAUGACCACUGCAGCGGCAGUGGCGGCGCAACCGAGUCCAACCGAAGCUUCUACGGCAGACUCGAUAUCCGCAGGGUAGAUAGCUGGGUCGUGCCCCAUGCUGAGGGACCACUGUUCUGAGGCUUUUAGAACGCGGAAGCUGCAUCGGAAAGAAUGACGAUCCGUUCCCUGUUCACUGGCAAGGAUUGCGCAUCUCAGAGGCUCUGUUUAGACUCAUCGAUGGUACGAAAUUGAAUGACGUUGGCCUCUGUCUGUUCACGAAUCCUCCAUCAUCAAGUAUUUGAUACUGUGAGCUGGUACAUGCUUCUGAGAUCGUUCGUUCAUCGAAUGCCGCACGGGGGUGCAUCGAGUGUCGAUGCGUCGACAUUAUGAACGUUAUUAUAUAUCUUUCUGAUUCACGCUCGUGACCUUGUGUGCCAGUCAGGGCGUGCUUGCCGCUUUUGCGAAUAUUCGAAAGCGAGACGCACGCAACAACGCGCGAAGGUUGAUGUUGCAUUGAAAGUGCGACUCCUGCCGCGACAGCAUGCCCACUGAAUGGCAUGGGUUCCAUCGUUGCCCCAUAAGCGACCAGCCACGAGGCAUUUGCGCACAGGUUCAAUCACGGUGGGCGAGGCGCAACCGGAGGACGCGCCCAGUGCUCCUCGCUGUAGCGUAUAGCCGCAACGUAGCGCUCUCUGCUACUUUCCAGGUUUUCUGAUGCGCCAUGCCAAUCGCGACGCUUCUGGACCAGAGAUGCCGGAUGAAGUGUUAUCGAACCCAUCUCUGAGCGAUAAUCCAUCUGCGGCGGUUAGAUGAGGCGUCUGUGCUUCCACGAUCCAAAAUACUACCGACGCCGAAGCUCUUCCACGGAUAGCAUCCUUUCGGCACUGGUGAUAUUUUGCGGGAGAUACAUCGCGACGCGCUCUGGUUAUCCCGCGUGGCUCAUGCCGUUCCUCGGCUGGGUCUUUGCUGAGCCAUUUUCACUGGGAUUCUGUGACCAGCAGGUGCGCUCGCCCGCCAAGCAACCAUCGAUCGCUUCCAUCGCUGAAAAACUUAAAGAAAGAAACGAACU